AUUUGCAUAGUUUAAUCAAAACAUUACACUUUCAUUGUAAAAUUAGAAAAUCCUUUCUUUCAAAUA
rnacentral:tRNA from 1 species